ACCCCAAUAAGUAACAGGUAAAGAAGAAAUUCUCCUCAAACACAAAUACAGUUUGUUUGAAGCAUUUGUAAUCCAGGUUGAAAACGGUUUUAUCCCAAUAUCCCGGUUACUUGAACACACCGUCAGUCACGUGUUAGCGAAGAAGUUAUGCUAUGAUGUUUACAAGCUGCUGUGACGUUUUGAUGAUCAGGAGUCCAAGUGGGAGAAUUUGCUGAAGUAUCUGUGUUGGUGUAUCUCAAACAAAUGGUGAUUUGGCUAAUGUUUUAUAAUAAAUGCACAUUGAACUUAAGCGCAUGAGACUGUACGUUUGGAAUGGCGACUACGGCUGUUUUUGGAGUCUGGCGUCGUGGAAAGCUGGAAUGUAGCAUGAAAUUGUACUGGGUUGGACUCUUCUACUAGCAACCAAUAAGGAGAAGUUGUAAAAAACAAAGAAGCCCUCAACUGUUCUCAUGAACCCAUUGGAUAACAUCUUGUUUGAAGAACCGGUUAUCUGCAUCCGCAUCCUUCUUUUACUGCCUGCUCAUCCCUCUAUUCUGAGUUGAGACAAUGGAGGAGAAGGAGGAAACAAUGGGAGGUCUGGGUGGACCAGUGAGGGGAGCAGGAGCAGCAGAGGGGGUAUCAACCAGGCAGAGAAGGUCCAACUGUGGAGGCCUCAGCUUUGCUGUCAAGUAAGAAUCAGAUGUGUGCUGUGCUGUGCUCUUUCCUUUGUACCUGUUCCUCAUGCCAUUCUGUAAAAAAAAAAAAAAAAAAGCAAAUCAGAAAAUAUUGUGGAACUGUGAUCCAGUUCCCAUCUUUUGUGUUAAGUAGCUUUUUGGUAGAUUUGGCUUGUCUGUGAAUACUGAAACUUCCUUCAGCAGUGAUAAGUCUAGACAAAAUGCCUGAUUUGAUGAAUAUUUAAAAAGCUUUACUACUGUAAU